rnacentral:rRNA from 1 species
CCUACGGGAGGCAGCAGUGAGGAAUAUUGGUCAAUGGACGAGAGUCUGAACCAUCCAAGUAGCGUGAAGGAUGACUGCCCUAUGGGUUGUAAACUUCUUUUAUAUGGGAAUAAAAUGUUCCACGUGUGGGAUUUUGUAUGUACCAUAUGAAUAAGGAUCGGCGAACUCCGUGCCAGCAGCCGCGGUAAUACGGAGGAUCCGAGCGUUAUCCGGAUUUAUUGGGUUUAAAGGGAGCGUAGGUGGAUUGUUAAGUCAGUUGUGAAAGUUUGCGGCUCAACCGUAAAAUUGCAGUUGAAACUGGCAGUCUUGAGUACAGUAGAGGUGGGCGGAAUUCGUGGUGUAGCGGUGAAAUGCUUAGAUAUCACGAAGAACUCCGAUUGCGAAGGCAGUUCACUGGACUGCAACUGACACUGAGGCUCGAAAGUGUGGGUAUCAAACAGGAUUAGAUACCCCAGUAGUC